GGAACCGUGGUGUAGGGGUUAACAUGCCUGCCUGUCACGCAGGAGAUCGCGGGUUCAAAUCCCGUCGGUUCCG
rfam:Saccharibacillus sacchari DSM 19268 genomic scaffold SacsacDRAFT_Scaffold1.1, whole genome shotgun sequence.